rnacentral:tRNA from 1 species
AGCCCCGAGGUGUUUUACAUAUUAGAUUGCAAAUCUGAAGAAGCAGAAUAACCCCUGCCGGGGCUU